UCAUAGGACUUGAGCGGGGGCUUAGGCGUCCAUUGCACGUGGUCCCUGUGCGGUGGCAGUGUGGCCUUGCUUUCUCUCACGAGAUACGAGUUGGUCUGGUCUAGUAGGACCUCUGGAAGUUAUGUUUUAUUUAAAUAAGGUUAACAAGAAACUGAAAGUAUGUAAAGAUUUUUCGGAUUUACAAUCUACUGAAUUAGAAAAUGAAAUACAAAAUAAGAAAAGAAAACCCAAACCAAAUGUAAAAUAUAUGAAUUCUAGUAAUAAAGAUGAAGAUCAAGAAAACUUUGAUUCAUUAUAACUACUAGCAAAACAUUAUAAAUCAGAGUUUCCCGAAAAGUCUCUCCUUUUGUGACUCCUGACUCAGAACAAGAGACGGACUCCCCCCGAUUCGCUCGCUCGAUCCUACUCAUCGCUACUCGCACCUGCGCUCUCAUAUUCGCGCUUCCUAUUUACUCGAAUAUGUAACAAGUAAUAUUUUUAGAAAUUAAAUAUUUUUUGUAAAUAAACAAAUUUUUCAAUUUUUAGAAUCUUUGAUGAUAGCGAAAUUUACAUCACCUUCAUCAAGGAGAAUUAUGUCACGACGAAAAAGUCGAAGAGCAAUUUGAAAAACCACAACCGAAUAUUUCUUUUAAACAAAAGAUACUUGAUUGGUCAAAAAUAUUACAUGUCUCAAUAAUAAAAUGUUAAUAAUUAUAUAUUUUGAAAAUAGUACAUGAUGAAUUUCUGAAAACAGUUAUACCGUGUUCUAUUGGGAGAAACUUGCUAGCACUGGCAGCGUUGAUUGUGAGUGAAGAUAUUUAUUGGUAAGAUAAGUGAACAUAUUUGAAGUGAUGCGCAUUUCAUUAGAAAUGCAAAAUACUCUGUGUGCAUUGAAUGCAGUUAAAGUGGCCCCGAUUUUGAUGGCAGGGGCCACGUCAGUGUUAUACUGUUUGAAUUAAACUGUUGUGACAAGAAAUAUAGACU